rnacentral:rRNA from 1 species
AUGGUGGGGCUCUCGGAGGGGGAGAAGCACUUCAUCCGCGGCGGCAUCGCGCAGGACCUCCGGGCCGACGGCCGCAGGCGGCUGCAGUUCCGGGCCCUCACCGUCGAGACAGGAAUCAUCCCUCAGGCCAACGGCUCGGCGCGUGUUAGGAUGGGUGCGACCGAAGUCAUCGCCAGCGUCAAGGCUGAGUUGGGGAAACCAACCAUUCUUCAUCCCGACAAAGGAAAAGUUUCCAUUUAUGUUGAUUGUAGUCCAACUGCUGCGCCUAUGUUUGAGGGUAGAGGUUCGGAAGAAUUGUCUGCUGAGCUCUCUGUUGGGCUGCAAAGAUGUUUACUGGGUGGUAAAAGUGGUGCAGGGGCUGCAAUCGAUUUAUCGUCUCUGAUUGUUGUUGAGGGAAAAGCCUGCUGGGAUCUGUACAUUGAUGGACUUGUGGUCAGUUCUGAUGGUAAUUUGCUUGAUGCACUGGCGGCUGCGAUAAAGGUAGCUUUGAGUGAUACAGGUAUACCAAAAGUUAAUGUUUCUCUUAAUAAUGAAACGGAUGGGGAGCCUGAGGUUGAUAUCAGUGAUGAAGAAUUUUUGCAAUUCGACACUUCUGGUGUGCCUGUCAUAAUUACAUUGACCAAGGUUGGUAAGCACUACAUUGUUGAUGCCACCUCGGAGGAGGAAUCGCAGAUGAGUUCUGCGGUUUCCGUUUCAGUCAACAGCCAUGGCCAGAUAUGUGGGUUAACCAAGAGGGGAGGCGCAGGGUUGGAUCCAAGCGUCAUUUUUGAUAUGAUAUCCGUGGCCAAGAAUGUAAGCCAACGGUUCUAUACUCUACUGGAAUCAGCAUUCGCAGCUGCUGAAGCAGUAGCGGAUGAGUAG